UGGGGAAUUUUGGACAAUGGGCGAAAGCCUGAUCCAGCAAUGCCGCGUGCAGGAAGAAGGCCUUCGGGUUGUAAACUGCUUUUGUACGGAACGAAACGGUCUGGGUUAAUACCUCGGGCUAAUGACGGUACCGUAAGAAUAAGCACCGGCUAACUACGUGCCAGCAGCCGCGGUAAUACGUAGGGUGCAAGCGUUAAUCGGAAUUACUGGGCGUAAAGCGUGCGCAGGCGGUUUUGUAAGACAGGCGUGAAAUCCCCGGGCUCAACCUGGGAAUUGCGUUUGUGACUGCAAAGCUGGAGUGCGGCAGAGGGGGAUGGAAUUCCGCGUGUAGCAGUGAAAUGCGUAGAUAUGCGGAGGAACACCGAUGGCGAAGGCAAUCCCCUGGGCCUGCACUGACGCUCAUGCACGAAAGCGUGGGGAGCAAACA
rnacentral:rRNA from 1 species